UGAGAGCGGCGGACGGGUGAGUAAUGCCUANGAAUCNGCCUGGNNGNGGGGGAUNACGUUCGGAAACGGACGCUAAUNCCGCAUACGUCCUACGGGAGAAAGNNGGGGACCUUCGGGCCUUGCGCUAUCNGAUGAGCCUANGGCGGAUUANCUANUUGGUGAGGUAAUGGCUCACCAAGGCUGCGAUCCGUAACUGGNCUGAGAGGAUGAUCANNCNCNCUGGAACUGAGACACGGUCCANACUCCUACGGGAGGCAGCAGUGGGGAAUAUUGGACAAUGGGCGAAAGCCUGAUCCAGCCAUGCCGCGUGUGUGAAGAAGGUCUUCGGAUUGUAAAGCACUUUAAGUUGGGAGGAAGGGCAGUUACCUAAUACGUGAUUGUUUUGACGUUACCGACAGAAUAAGCACCGGCUAACUCUGUGCCANCAGCCGCGGNAAUACAGAGGGUGCAAGCGUUAAUCGGAAUUACUGGGCNUAAAGCGCGCGUAGGUGGUUUGUUAAGUUGGAUGUGAAAUCCCCGGGCUCCCCCUGGGAACUGCAUUCNAAACUGACUGACUAGAGUAUGGUAGAGGGUGGUGGAAUUUCCUGUGUAGCGGUGAAAUGCGUANAUAUAGGAAGGAACACCNGUGGCGAAGGCGACCNCCUGGACUAAUACUGACACUGACGUGCGAAAGCGUGAGNGAGCAAACAGGAUAUANAUNNNCCUGGUAG
rnacentral:rRNA from 1 species